rnacentral:rRNA from 1 species
GGAUUAGAUACCCUGGUAGUCCACGCUGUAAACGAUGUCUACUAACCGUUGGACCCCUAGAGGGUUGAGUGGUGCAGCUAACGCGAUAAGUAGACCGCCUGGGGAGUACGACCGCAAGGUUAAAACUCAAAUGAAUUGACGGGGGCCCGCACAAGCGGUGGAGCAUGUGGUUUAAUUCGAAGCAACGCGAAGAACCUUACCUACCCUUGACAUCCUCGGAAUUAAGCAGAGAUGCUUAAGUGCCUUCGGGAGCCGAGAGACAGGUGCUGCAUGGCUGUCGUCAGCUCGUGCCG